rnacentral:rRNA from 1 species
GACGAACGCUGGCGGCGUGCUUAACACAUGCAAGUCGAACGAAGUGGCGAACGGGUGAGUAACGCGUAAUCAAACUGCCCUUCAGAGGGGGACAACAGUUGGAAACGACUGCUAAUACCGCAUACGGAAGGAGGGGAUUGCGUCUGAUUAGCUAGUGGGGGGGGUAACGGCCCACCAAGGCGAUGAUCAGUCGCCGGUCUGAGAGGAGGAACGGCCAAGUUGGGACUGAGACACGGCCCAGACUCCUACGGGAGGCAGCAGGGGGGAAUCUUCCGCAAUGGACGAAAGUCUGACGGAGCAACGCCGCGUGAGUGAUGACGGCCUUCGGGUUGUAAAGCUCUGUUAAUCGGGACGCGGUACCGGAAUAGAAAGCCACGGCUAACUACGUGCCAGCAGCCGCGGUAAUAC